GCUGGAGAGAUGGCUCAGUGGUUAAGAGCACUGACUGCUCUUCCAGAGGUCCUGAGUUCAAUUCUCAGCAAACA
rnacentral:tRNA from 1 species